UCACUACUUCCUCUGUCCAACAAAGGAUGUUUUAAUUUUGACUAAAUUUGAAUGCAUGUAUACACUGAGUCAUGUCUAGAUACAUCCAAAUUUUGACAAACUUGAAACAUCCUUUGUUGCACGGAGGAAGUACAUA
rfam:Brachypodium distachyon strain Bd21 chromosome 2, whole genome shotgun sequence.